rnacentral:rRNA from 1 species
AUUGAACGCUGGCGGCAGGCCUAACACAUGCAAGUCGAACGAGUGGCGGACGGGUGAGUAAUGUCUGGGAAAAUAGCUUAUGGAGGGGGAUAACUACGGGAAACGGUAGCUAAUAACGCAUACCAUAGGAUGUGCCCAGGUGGGAUUAGAUAGUAGGUGGGGUAAAGGCUCACCUAGUCGACGAUCCCUAGAUGGUCUGAUAGGAGGACCAGCCACACGGGAACGGAGACACGGUGCAGACUCCUACGGGAGUCAGCAGUGGGGAAUAUUGCACAAUGGGGGCAAGCAUGAUGCAGCCAUGCCGCGUGUAUGAAGAAGGCCUUCGGGUUGGAAAGUACUUUCAGCGGGGAGGCGUUACCCGCAGAAGAAGCACCGGCUAACUCCGUGCCAGCAGCCGCGGUAAUUC